CCUACGGGAGGCAGCAGUGAGGAAUAUUGGUCAAUGGACGAGAGUCUGAACCAGCCAAGUAGCGUGAAGGAUGACUGCCCUAUGGGUUGUAAACUUCUUUUAUAUGGGAAUAAAAUGUUCCACGUGUGGGAUUUUGUAUGUACCAUAUGAAUAAGGAUCGGCUAACUCCGUGCCAGCAGCCGCGGUAAUACGGAGGAUCCGAGCGUUAUCCGGAUUUAUUGGGUUUAAAGGGAGCGUAGGUGGAUUGUUAAGUCAGUUGUGAAAGUUUGCGGCUCAACCGUAAAAUUGCAGUUGAAACUGGCAGUCUUGAGUACAGUAGAGGUGGGCGGAAUUCGUGGUGUAGCGGUGAAAUGCUUAGAUAUCACGAAGAACUCCGAUUGCGAAGGCAGUUCACUGGACUGCAACUGACACUGAGGCUCGAAAGUGUGGGUAUCAAACAUGAUUAGAUACCCCUGUAGUC
rnacentral:rRNA from 1 species